UUCCGGUUGAUCCCGCCGGAGGCCAUUGCUAUCGGAGUCCGAUUUAGCCAUGCUAGUCGUGCGAGUUCAGACUCGCGGCACCGAGCUCAGUAACACGUGGCCAAACUACCCUGUAGAGACGUAUAACCUCGGGAAACUGAGGCUAAUCCGUCAUACCGGUUGAACGGUUGAAACCCAUCAACCUCUAAACGCCCCGGCGCUACAGGAUGUGGCUGCGGCCGAUUAGGUUGACGGUGGGGUAACGGCCCACCGUGCCAAUAAUCGGAACAGGUUGUGAGAGCAAGAACCUGGAGACGGCAUCUGAGACAAGAUGCCGGGCCCUACGGGGCGCAGCAGGCGCGAAACCUUUACACUGCACGCACGUGCGAUAAGGGGACUCCGAGUGCGAGGGCAUAUCGUCCUCGCUUUUGUGUACCGUAGGGUGGUACACGAACAAGGGCUGGGCAAGACCGGUGCCAGCCGCCGCGGUAAUACCGGCAGCCCGAGUGAUGGCCGAUCUUAUUGGGCCUAAAGCGUCCGUAGCUGGGUCUGAAAGUCCAUCGGGAAAUCCACUCGCUCAACGAGUGGUCGUCCGGUGGAAACUCCACACCUUGGGACCGGAAGGCUCGAAGGGUACGGCCGGGGUAGGAGUGAAAUCCUGUAAUCCCGUCCGGACCACCGAUGGCGAAAGCACUUCGAGAAAACGGAUCCGACAGUGAGGGACGAAAGCUAAGAUCGCGAACCGGAUUAGAUACCCGGGUAGUCUUAGCCGUAAACAAUGUUCGUUAGGUAUGA
rnacentral:rRNA from 1 species